CUACUACUCCCUCCGUUCGAAAAUACUUGUCAUUGAAAUGGAUGUAUCUAGAUGUAUUUUAGCUCUAGACACAUCCAUUUUGAUGACAAGUAAUUCCAUACGGAGGGAGUAUUAU
rnacentral:pre_miRNA from 1 species